rnacentral:rRNA from 1 species
UACGUAGGGUGCGAGCGUUGUCCGGAAUUAUUGGGCGUAAAGAGCUUGUAGGUGGUUUGUCGCGUCUGCUGUGAAAAUCCGAGGCUCAACCUCGGACUUGCAGUGGGUACGGGCAGACUAGAGUGCGGUAGGGGAGACUGGAAUUCCUGGUGUAGCGGUGAAAUGCGCAGAUAUCAGGAGGAACACCGGUGGGCGAAGGCGGGGUCUCUGGGCAACAACUGACGCU